rnacentral:rRNA from 1 species
GAUGAACGCUAGCGACAGGCUUAACACAUGCAAGUCGAGGGGCAGCACAGGUAGCAAUACCGGGUGGCGACCGGCGCACGGGUGAGUAACGCGUAUGCAACUUACCUAUCAGAGGGGGAUAACCCGGCGAAAGUCGGACUAAUACCGCAUGAAGCAGGGGUCCCGCAUGGGGAUAUUUGCUAAAGAUUCAUCGCUGAUAGAUAGGCAUGCGUUCCAUUAGGCAGUUGGCGGGGUAACGGCCCACCAAACCGACGAAGGAUAGGGGUUCUGAGAGGAAGGUCCCCCACAUUGGUACUGAGACACGGACCAAACUCCUACGGGAGGCAGCAGUGAGGAAUAUUGGUCAAUGGCCGAGAGGCUGAACCAGCCAAGUCGCGUGAGGGAUGAAGGUUCUAUGGAUCGUAAACCUCUUUUAUAAGGGAAUAAAGUGCGGGACGUGUCCCGUUUUGUAUGUACCUUAUGAAUAAGGAUCGGCUAACUCCGUG